ACCUCUUGCGAAAUGAAAUUUCCUAUACAAAACCUAUGCAUAAAAAACGUCGCGAAAUGCUCGCGAAAAAAAUUUUCGUUUCCAUUUCGUAAGCGGUACGCAGCUCUCGCGAAAACGAUAACGAAAAAUGCAGUUAGCCGAGACACGGUUCGACAAACGAUAAGUUUCAUAAUACUUCCGCGAGACAGCGCUGCUUUCUAUGCGCUGUCACCAAGGCAAACUUUUUCCUUGCGAAAUAAUGGUCAAUGGUAUUAUUUCGCACGGAGGCUCGCGAAAUUUUGACAGUUUUGAGAAUCAAUAUUUUGAAUUUGAAUGGCACACCCGAACAAAGCAGCCACAAGAGCAGCAUUUUUCGUCAGCAGCAGAAGCAGCAGCCAUCUAUCUACUUGAUAAGUUUUCAUCAACAACAACCAGAUGCUACAAAUCAGCUCAACUUGACUCAACAUCCCGGAUCUGGCAAUCAGCCAACCAACAUUAAAUCGAUACAACCGUAGCAGUACCAACAACUCCAAAUCCAGCAGCUACCAACAAUCUCUCAAAAAAGAACCACAGCAAUUACAGCUCAGAACCAACAAAGCAACAAGAGCUUUUUUUACGAAUAAUGGACCCAACGGACACACUUUAUCGGCACAUUCUGUCGUAAAACUUGCCUGCCACUAUUCUUACCAGCGGUUACCUCCCUGAUGUAGAGAAAUCAGAGUCAAACACAAACGUCAUAUUACUGCCUUGGCUCCUACCAGUUGCUUGCAUGAAAAUAUCGCUGCCUCCACAGUGCUCGUGAUUCCAUCCCAGCAGCAGCUAGCAACCACAAUUCCAGUGCUUAUCGCCAGCAACAUCAGAAAAUUAAGAUUUCCCCCAGACCAUGACCAUCAUCCGACAGAUCGGUAGCAACAACGUUCAACUGACGUGCAAUCGAUCCAAGCCAAUCAGGGCCAAAUGUAGAAGACCAUUGGUCAACCGCAAAAAAAAGAUACAUCAACAGCACCUUCAAACACAGUAGCAGCAGCAUACUGUACUGUACCACGCCGCGUGCAGGAGGACUUUUUUUAUUCAGUUGGUGCAGCAAGAUCGAACAGCAACCAUAGCGGAUACACAUCACCGAACACCAGCAACAUAAUGCCAUGGUAACCACCCAGCAGCAGAACACGGUGAUAAUGGGCCAACAGUAAAUACAACAUCAAGAUCCUCGGGAAGGACUUUCUCUUUCGAACAAACAUAAUGGAAGCAUACUCUACACGCGCGACAUAUUCAAUCGGGCCAACCGUGUGACUCGUUUGGAAAAAAGCGCUCAUCAUCGGUUUCAUGGCAGCGAAGUGAGCAGACAAAAGAAGGCGUUUUUUUCCGCAAGGUCGCUCUGGGCAAAAGUUCAGCCAAUUGCAAGGAAUAAACCACCGGAGUGACAGUAUCCGUGCUGUUUGGGACCUUUUUCCAUAUAUUGUAGCUUUUGAAUUUUAAUACCCGGUCGAAACGAUGGCAAGUGCUGCCGAUAACUGGGUCAAAAGGUGGAGGGAGGAUCAGGAAAUUUCUGCACUCGGUUAUCGAUCUGAGUAUCCCUAAGGAUAAGGAACCAGAGCCGGCGGCUGACAGCCCAAAGAAAGAGAAUGCGGAAAAACCUUCUAGUUCACCGCCAGUAGAACCAGCGAUCAAAUUACUCCCGUAGAAACGGCUGCACCUGCAGUUUUGUUUUCGGUAGCUACAGAAAUUAAGACUUUAGCAGCUCCUGAAGAAAAAAAAAAGCUGCUAGCAAAAAUGGAGAAACAGCUUCCUCCACGGAAGAUGCAGAGGCAUUCAACCCGGCGGAUGCAAGUUUGCUAAUUAAACUUAUUCGCAAAAGUCUAGUAGAAUCAAAGCUGGAUCUGGAGGUGAAGGAUCCUUCUUCGCCGCUAUACUUGGUUAAAACUUUCGAAGCUUUGCACAUGAAUUCGGAACUGCUUCAGGAAGUCUAUGCUAUUGGUUUCAACGCUCCUUCCAAGAUUCAGAAGACGGCUCAACCUACUCUGUUGGCCGAUCCGCCACAGAACAUAAUCGCCCAGAGUUGGUCGGGAACAAGAAAAACCACUGCCUUCGUGCUGGCAAUGCUCAAUCGAGUCGAUCCGUUGAAAAACUAUCCGCAGGUGAUUUGCCUUUCCCCACGUAUGAACUGGCAAUUCAGAAGGGGAAAGUAGCUGCAAAACGGCAAAGUUUUGUGCGGAAAUCGAACUUGGUUAAACCGUUCGCGGUGAGAAGAUCGUCAAAGGGGCGAAGCUGACUAAUCAUAUCAUCAUCGGAACAGCCGGGCGUUCGACCUUAAGAAGAUUGCAAUUUUUGUACCGGACGAGACGGGCGUUAUGAUCGCUGUUCACGUACGAGCGGGAGGUGAUGGGAUUCGCCCAGUACAUCGUAACCAAUCCGAUCAUGAUUCUUCUGGUGCGGGAGCAAGAAUCACUCGAUAACACCAAACACUACUACGUCAAAUGCCGCAACCAGGACGAGAAAUAUCAAGCAAUUUCAAACAUGUACGGUGUGAUUACCGUCGGACAAGCGAUCAUUUUCUGUCAUAUGAUGUAUAGGACAGUUGUAAACUCCAAGUAAACUUAUUUUCGGCAUUGUUAAUCGAUCGAAACAGGCACGCAAAACGGCCGGUUGGACCAGGAUAAUCACUCAGUAGCGGUACUGUCCGGUGAUCUAACGGCGGAGCAACGGUUGGCCGUUCUGGAUCGAUCCUGAGCCGGACUAGAGAAGGUAUUGAUUGCAACGAACGUUUUAUCUAGGGGUAUCGAUGUUGAACAGGUGACCAUUGUCAUCAACUUCGACCUGCCGAUGGAUUAGCAGGGACGAGCCGAUUGCGAAACGUAUCUACAUCGAAUUAGACGCACCGGUAGAUUCGAACGGAAUCACCAUCAACCUAGUGGGCAGUGAUCGAAGCAUGAUGAUUUGCAGAUCAAUCGAAAAACACUUCUGGAAAAAGAUUCAGUUGCUAGACGCGGAGAACUCGGACGAAAUUGAAAAGAUCGCACCGUAAAGUGUUUUCGACCAGCUACUGGUGAAAGGCAUAGGAGCUUUUUUGGGUCAUACUUGUUAUGAUUCUGAAUUUAUAAUUUUAUUAAUUUUUUUUCUUCCUUGACCUGACAUAUGUAACC